rnacentral:rRNA from 1 species
AUUGAACGCUGGCGGCAUGCCUUACACAUGCAAGUCGAACGGCAGCACGGGAGCAAUCCUGGUGGCGAGUGGCGAACGGGUGAGUAAGGUAUCGGAACGUGCCCAGUCGUGGGGGAUAACGUAGCGAAAGUUACGCUAAUACCGCAUACGAUCUAUGGAUGAAAGCGGGGGAUCGCAAGACCUCGCGCGAUUGGAGCGGCCGAUAUCAGAUUAGGUAGUUGGGGGGGUAAAGGCUCACCAAGCCGACGAUCUGUAGCUGGUCUGAGAGGACGACCAGCCACACUGGGACUGGGACACGGCCCAGACUCCUACGGGAGGCAGCAGUGGGGAAUUUUGGACAAUGGGCGAAAGCCUGAUCCAGCCAUGCCGCGUGCAGGAUGAAGGCCUUCGGGUUGUAAACUGCUUUUGUACGGAACGAAAAGGUUUGGCCUAAUAAGCUGAGCUCAUGACGGUACCGUAAGAAUAAGCACCGGCUAACUACGUGCCAGCAGCCGCCGUAA